UACGUAGGGAGCGAGCGUUAUCCGGAUUUAUUGGGUGUAAAGGGUGCGUAGGCGGCUUAAUAAGUCUGUGGUUUAAGCCCGAAGCUUAACUUCGGUUCGCCACAGAAACUGUCAGGCUUGAGUAUGGUAGAGGCAAGUGGAACUUCUAGUGUAGCGGUUAAAUGCGUAGAUAUUAGAAGGAACACCAGUGGCGAAGGCGACUUGCUGGGCCAUUACUGACGCUGAGGCACGAAAGCGUGGGGAGCAAAUA
rnacentral:rRNA from 1 species